CCGCUGAACUUAAGCAUAUCAAUAAGCGGAGGAAAAGAAACCAACAGGGAUUGCCUCAGUAACGGCGAGUGAAGCGGCAACAGCUCAAAUUUGAAAUCUGGAGUCUUUCGGCUUCCGAGUUGUAAUUUGAAGAGGAUGUUUCGGUGCGACCUGGGCCUAAGUUCCUUGGAACAGGACGUCAUGGAGGGUGAGAAUCCCGUACAUGGCUGCAGGUUUGCUUCUAUGUGAAACUCCUUCGAAGAGUCGAGUUGUUUGGGAAUGCAGCUCAAAAUGGGUGGUAAAUUUCAUCUAAAGCUAAAUAUUGGCGGGAGACCGAUAGCGCACAAGUAGAGUGAUCGAAAGAUGAAAAGCACUUUGAAAAGAGAGUUAAACAGUACGUGAAAUUG
rnacentral:rRNA from 1 species